CUCCCCGUGCCUGAGCCCCGGUGCCGCACGGCCGGGCAGGCUGCGGGCCCCGGCCGCAUCCGUGCUGCCUGCGGCGGCGGGAACAGAGGACAGAACCACCCAGCAGCAAGUCACAUUCAGAACAUCUCCCCCUCCUCCCCCCUUCCAGAGGUUUCUGUAUGGCUUUAUCCCAGACCUACCCGCUGACCUGACCCCACCAGAAAAGGGAUUUUACCGUGUCUGCAAGCCGGAGCCAUCAGCGGUCAAUACAAUGAGCAUUUCCCACGCGCACAAUUAGUGCAGACAGAGCCUUGGGGGCUGCUCAGCAGUUACCAGCAGGAAGUUCCCCAGCCUGGCCAAUACCCGCCGGUCUCUUGCCCAGGAGGACAUCACCUACAGCAUUACUGUUGGCUCUUCCCACGUUUCAUGAGAAGCGAAGGCAAGCCAGCAGAACACU